AAAGCCUUUUCUAUUUUUGUGCUUCUUCUUCUGCCGUAAUUCAUCUCUCUCUCUCUCUCUCUCUCUCUCUCUCUCUCACAGAAUCCAAAUUCACCCUUUGAAAUUCCGACUAUGAGCGAGCUUGUUGCUGGUGGGUUCGAGAUCGGCGAUGAUUGGAUCUCGCCUUGCUAAGAAGGCGACAACUAAAAAGCAGUACAGCCGGUCUCCUGUUCCCCAUUGGCCGAUUAGCUCGAUUUCGUAAGAAGGACGAGUACGCCGAACGUGUUGGUGUCGUAGCUUGGAUUUAGCUAGCCGCCGAGAUCUGUGUAAGUUAUGGAAUUGACUGGAAACACAGAGAGGGAUAACAAGAAGACUAUGAUUGUGUCACUUCACUUUCAGCUUGCGGUGAGAAACGAUGGGGAGCUGUGUGAGUUGGUUGGUGAUGUGACGAAUUCUAAUGGAGGUGUGAUGACUAACAUUCACAAUCUUCUUCUCCUCCUUCCUCAAUCGCCGUUCCUCAGCUCUCAUUCUCUUCAAAGACUAAAAUUCACAAUCAAGCCAAGCCAAGUUCUUAUUUAGGUCAAUGGAGAUGGAAAGUAUGAGCGGAUAGGUCAACAAGCCUUUGGUGGAGGUUCUUACCAAGAAGAGUGUUGUCUUUUCCCCAUCCUUCGUCCGGUUGUUCAUGCAUGAGGUUUUAGU